UUACGGCCAUAUCAAGUUGAAACACCAGGUUUCGUAUAAUCACCGAAGUUAAGCAAUGUCGAGCCUGGUCAGUAACUAGAUGGGUGACCGCUUGGGAAUGUCAGAUGCUGUAA